rnacentral:rRNA from 1 species
UACGUAGGGCGCGAGCGUUGUCCGGAAUUAUUGGGCGUAAAGAGCUCGUAGGCGGCCUGUCGCGUCCGCUGUGAAAUCCCGGGGCUUAACCCCGGGCCUGCAGUGGAUACGGGCAGGCUGGAGGCAGGCAGGGGAGAACGGAAUUCCCGGUGUAGCGGUGAAAUGCGCAGAUAUCAAGUGGAACACCAGUGGCGAAGGCGGGUUGCUGGGCUGACACUAACGCUGAAGCGCGAAAGCUAGGGGAGCGAACGGG